rnacentral:rRNA from 1 species
AGGGUGUAACGCUGCGGGCUUGGUGUUGGGGGUCCUUUGAGGGCGCCCAGUGCCGGAGAGAAGUUGUUAAGCCUGCUGCUUGGGGAGUACGUCCGCAAGGAUGAAACUUAAAGGAAUUGGCGGGGGAGCACAACAACGGGUGGAGCUUUGCGGUUUAAUUGGAUUCAACGCCGGAAAUCUUACCGGGACCGACAGCAACAUGAAGGCCAAGCUGAAGACUUUGCCGGAUUAGCUGAGAGGAGGUGCAUGGCG